rnacentral:tRNA from 1 species
GGACUAAGUGUUAGUCCUAGUAAUUGGUUAAUACUAUAUCGGUG